UCCUCCCUCUGGCGGCGUGCCUAAUACAUGCAAGUAGAACGCACAGUUUAUACCGUAGCUUGCUCCACCAUAGACUGUGAGUUGCGAACGGGUGAGUAACGCGUAGGUAACCUGCCUGGUAGCGGGGGAUAACUAUUGGAAACGAUAGCUAAUACCGCAUAAUAUUAAUUAUUGCAUGAUAAUUGAUUGAAAGAUGCAACUGCAUCACUACCAGAUGGACCUGCGUUGUAUUAGCUAGUAGGUGAGGUAACGGCUCACCUAGGCGACGAUACAUAGCCGACCUGAGAGGGUGAUCGGCCACACUGGGACUGAGACACGGCCCAGACUCCUACGGGAGGCAGCAGGAGGGAAUCUUCGGCAAUGGACGAAAGUCUGACCGAGCAACGACGCGUGAGUGAAGAAGGUUUUCGGAUCGUAAAGCUCUGUUGUAAGAGAAGAACGGGUGUGAGAGUGGAAAGUUCACACUGUGACGGUAUCUUAACAGAAAGGGACGGCUAACUACGUG
rnacentral:rRNA from 1 species